UUGAAGUGGUUCAGGUUGCUAGUAACGCUAAUAACUAACCUUGACCAUGGGAAUCCACCUGGCCGCAGCCGCCUUUGGGGCUGUCUGUCAAAACGCAGCAGCCUGUGGGCACCGAGGCCGUCGGGCCAGGAGCCUCUUCCGGGUCUCGGGGCUCACAAUGCACGUUAGCAGCCGCCUUCCCGUCCUACACGCGUCAGGCCACCGCCUUCCUGCCAGACCUGCAUCCAUAUGUCAGCCACCCUCCUGCCCGAGCCGCAUCCAUCUGGGGGCCGCCUUCCAGCCCUACCCUCAUCCAGCUGCCGCCUUCUCUCCUGACCCGCAUCCAUCCCGCAGCCGCAGUACCAACUGACCCACAUCCGGCCGCCGCCUGACCCACAUCCGGCCACCUUCCCGCCCGACCCGCAUCCGGCCACCUUCCCGCCCGGCCCGCAGCUCCUCCCUGCAGCGUCUUGGCAGCCUGAUGAGCCCGGCCGGGGCUAAAUACACAGGACGAAGUCAAGCUGGGUGGUGGCGGGGCCUGGAAAUUGACUGUCUAGAAAAGCCCACAGCCAGUGCACGGAUGACCCCGUGUUCCCCACAGAGCUGCAUGUGAUUUUCAAAACGUCUGCGUUGACCGUCACAUGUGGCAACUCACUGGAAUCCCUGUGGUUUACAGGUUUUUAGGCUUCUUCUGAAAACCGGAGGAGCGCCCACCAAGGUGGGACGUUUCACCCGGGAGGAGCCAUGGAGAUGCCCAGGAGCCCCCCGGGUCACCUGUACUCGGCCACUGCACCCCACACCGCCAUGCCUGCCACCUGCAGCACCCACGUGGGCCCAGCCCUGCUGCCCUGACUUGCGGCUCGGCUGACCCAGCCUUUCCCAAAUGGCCUCUGGGAGAUGCUGGGCGCGUUUCUCACUUUUGACUGUGGAAUAUCUGAGGGCGGACCUGUAAGAUUUAUUGCCGAAGUAAAAUGAGGAAACUGAGGCAAGUAUAAAAAAGUGAAAGGCUAAUUUAUUCAGCUCCCGGGCAACCUUCUAUGGUCUAACACAGGGCCAGAGAAGUCCUGCCUGGCUGUUCAGGGCGUGGGAUUUUAUGGGAAGUGCAGGCAGUUGAUUGGUUACUGGGAAACAAAGAGAAGGCAUUUCUAUUGGCUGUUGAGGAGCAGGAAGUACAUGGAAUUAAAGUAGGUAGUACAUGAAACUAGUUGCCAUUGGUCAGUGGGUGGGACUUUGGGUAGGUGGGCCUUGAUUGACUACUGGGGAAACAAAGAAGGCAUUUCUAUUGGCUGUUGAGGAGCAGGAAGUACAUGGAAUUAAAGUAGGAAGUACAUGAAACUAGUUGCCAUUGGUCGGUGGGUGGGACUUUGGGUAGGUGGGCCUUGAUUGACUACUGGGGAAACAGAGAAGGCAUUUCUAUUGGCUGUUGAGGAGCAGGAAGUACAUGGAGUUAAAGUAGGAAGCACAUGAAACUAGUUGCGAUUGGUAGGUGGGUGGGACUUUGGGUAAGCGGGCCUGGGUGGGGGUGUAAGGGGCAGGCUGUUGCUGGGCAGGGUAGGGUGGGGCCUCUUUAAAAAAAUUUUCUAUGGGGUUUUUUUAACAGCGGGCUGGAGGUUGGAUGCAUAAUUUAAUGCUGAGUGCGAGCUUGGGCAUGGUAUGCAGAGGAGGGUGCGGGGGAGCCAUGUGGGGAAGCCAGGUAAUGAGCUGGGGCGAUGACGCAGUUAUCAGGUGCUGAGACGGAUAAAUGUGUCUGUUUGACUCCCGGCAAGGCAACCGACCUUACAAGGCCUGUGGCUCACCGGAUCCGGCUGGCCUUCAGCGCGGGGGCUCGUCCUAAAUGCAGGAAGGGGCACGGCUGGGGUGCCCAGCCCCUCCUCCCCGAGCUCAGGUAGUAGCCGAGUGGACCUGUCAUUCCACCCACAGCAGAGGCCCGUGUUUGCCACGUGUCGCUGUACCUGCACCCCUUGUAAAAGUCCACUCUUCACCUCCCAUCCAUGGUGACUCCCAUUUAAAUGCCAGGCUCCUGACGAGUGCAGGUGAGGCCAUUGGCAUGCAGUGAUGUCACAGUAAUAUGGCGGGACCAGGUGUCAAACACACUGACACAGACUCCACAAUGCGCAUGUUGCCCUGUGCCUUCCCCUUAGUUUAUAAAGCCCAGCUCUGGGUCACUGAGUAGCUGCUGAGUGGUAAUGCCUGUCACAGAGCCUCGCUUCCCUCACUGGGAGGGCUGCGGAAGGUUCCUGGGGGGGCACUGUGCAUGCCCAGGAGGUUCACGCUGUGCUGGAGCCUCCUAAGCACUCCGUGCAGCAGCCGCCGUCCCUGCCUCUGUGUUAAUCACACAGAUGCAAAGAUCCUUCCUGUCAGCGAAGCUCAUGAACCCUGCCCAUGACACCCAGGGAAAGAACAAAAAGAAAGGGUUUGUGCAUCUACCAAAGUCUAGCAGCGGAAGUACUCAACACAUAGCCGAUAAUUUCCAGGAAUCAGUGAAGAAAUGGGUGGCACCAAAUGCUCCCAGAGCCAGAUGACCAGAGGCUCUGGAGACCAGGACGUGGCUGAAGGUGGCAGAGCCAGAUGACCAGAGGCUCUGGAGACCAGGACAUGGCUGAAGGUGGCAGAGCCAGAUGACCAGAGGCUCUGGAGACCAGGGCGUGGCUGAAGGUGGCAGAGCCAGAUGACCAGAGGCUCUGGAGACCAGGGCGUGGCUGAAGGUGGCAGAACCAGAUGACCAGAGGCCCUGGAGACCAGGAUGUGGCUGAAGGUGGCAGAGCCAGAUGACCAGAGGCUCUGGAGACCAGGGCGUGGCUGAAGGUGGCAGAACCAGAUGACCAGAGGCCCUGGAGACCAGGACGUGGCUGAAGGUGGCAGAGCCAGAUGACCAGAGGCUCUGGAGACCAGGGCGUGGCUGAAAGUGGCAGAACCAGAUGACCAGAGGCCCUGGAGACCAGGACGUGGCUGAAGGUGGCAGAGCCAGAUGACCAGAGGCUCUGGAGACCAGGGCGUGGCUGAAGGUGGCAUAGCCAGAUGGCCAGAGGCUCUGGAGACCAGGGCGUGGCUGAAAGUGGCAGAACCAGAUGACCAGAGGCCCUGGAGACCAGGACGUGGCUGAAAGUGGCAGAACCAGAUGACCAGAGGCCCUGGAGACCAGGACGUGGCUGAAGGUGGCAGAGCCAGAUGACCAGAGGCUCUGGAGACCAGGGCGUGGCUGAAGGUGGCAGAGCCAGAUGGCCAGAGGCUCUGGAGACCAGGGCGUGGCUGAAAGUGGCAGAACCAGAUGACCAGAGGCUCUGGAGACUAGGGCGUGGCUGAAAGUGGCAGAACCAGAUGACCAGAGGCCCUGGAGACCAGGACGUGGCUGAAGGUGGCAGAGCCAGAUGACCAGAGGCUCUGGAGACCAGGGCAUGGCUGAAAGUGGCAGAACCAGAUGACCAGAGGCCCUGGAGACCAGGACGUGGCUGAAGGUGGCAGAGCCAGAUGACCAGAGGCCCUGGAGACCAGGGUGUGGCUGAAGGUGGCAGAGCCAGAUGACCAGAGGCUCUGGAGACCAGGGCGUGGCUGAAGGUGGCAGAGCCAGAUGACCAGAGGCUCUGGAGACCAGGGCGUGGCUGAAGGUGGCAGAGCCAGAUGACCAGAGGCCCUGGAGACCAGGGCGUGGCUGAAGGUGGCAGAGCCAGAUGACCAGAGGCCCUGGAGACCAGGAUGUGGCUGAAGGUGGAAGGCUGCAGUGAGCCCCAGGAGAAGUCACGUUGGAAAAGGCUGGUCAGAAGAGAAGCGUCUGAGCUGUGUGUUGGAGGAUCAGACGGACAGUUAGGAGGCCCUUCCAGGCAAAGGAGAGAUACAGCAGCACAUUGAAGAGGUCCCUUCUGCUGGCAAUGAGGAAGAAUGGAGAGUCCUCGUGGGCAGGGAGGGGUAAAAUGAGGGUGCCCAAGUUCAGAAACGAGGCGUGAGGGCAGAGCCUGGGUGGAAUCAGGCUGGAGAGGCUGGAAGCUGCUGAGCAUGAGGCCAGGCCCAUGUGAGAUGCCCCCCUGCUAUAUGUGGGGUGCAGGCCUGGCCACUGUGGUGGACAUGGACAACUGGCUUCCUUAACAUUAGCCGCCUAUGGCUUCUGCGGAGUUUGCCAGGGGACUCAACUCUACCCUUCCGAGACCCCUUGCUGCCAAGAUCCCCGAGACAACCCAGACCACCAUGAGACAGACGCACAGGCUGCAGACUUGGAUGAGAGAAUGAGGGAGGAGGGAGGUCCCAGCAGGGUGGCCGGUUCUGCAGGAGGUAGCUUUGGCAAUUGGUUUCCACUCCUGCAAGAUCCCAGAGUCUCCCAGACCUCACAGAGCAUAUUCUCAGGGUGAUCCUGAGAUGGAUUGGAGGCCCAUGCAUCUCAGAUGCUGUCUUGGCCAGCAUUGUAAAUAACACACCCCCCAAAACCCAGCUUCUAAAGGACACCUGUGUGCUGUGAUGAUCAUCCAUAGUAUCCUUCUAAGCAGGUCCAGGGUGGCCUGAGGGAGCAGGGAUUGGGAUCAGGCACUGCAUUGGACCCUGGAUCCCCUAGCUCUGUAUAACAGGCCAAGCAAGUGUCUUACACUCUGCAACGAGUUUUCCAUCAGUUGGUGAGUUGGGUAAUGAGGGGAAGGAGGAGGAGAGACCUCAGUCUCCACACCCAGGUCUUCAGCCACCCUCUCCUGGGCUCAGGGGGUCAGGAGCCUGCAUCCUGGCCAGGUCUGGCCUCAGUAGCUACCCUGGAAGCCCUGUCUGGAUGCGCACUUCAUCCUCUGCCUGGUGCCUCCUUCCUGAUCUUGUUUCCCAGCGGCUGUUCUGCUAGGUCAAGAUUGAGGCCACCAAAGUCCCUUCAGCCCCCAGACCCAUGUGCACAGCCUUGGCCCAGGCUCUCGGCCACACAAGAGUGAGCUGGGCUCAACAGCCCCCACUCCUUGACGGGCCUUGGCGAUGUCGCAGCAGAGUCCUGACUCUGCUGCCCACCCUGGGGGUCCAUUAUUGGCCUGGCGUUCUUAACUGGAUUCUAACAACCCAAACAUAGAGACAAAAGCAAAAGCCUCAGAAACUAAAUGUGCAGCACCUGCCUACUGAUGGGUACCUCAGAGACACUGAUCUCCCUUUAUCUUCUGAAACCAUCUCCUAGAGAGGCACCCCUCACAUUCUUGGUGCCAGUGAAUGUAACAGAGGUGGCUCCUUUCACUCUCUCCUGCUUGGGCUAAUGGAGGUGAGAGCAAUCUCAUUUUUGUUAGCUAUAAAAGUUGGUGUGAUAUCUAUCUUGUAAAGUGCUAUUUUAUUUGGUUAUUUAUAAGAGCAUUUCAAUUAUAAUUGCUCUAUGGAUUAAUGAUCACAAUGAUUGUAUGAAUAUUUAAUGCAACUUUAUGGUGUUUACAGACAAUGUCUUGGAAAUUAGCUGCUAUGUAUCAAUAAGUCAGUGUUAUAAUUUACAUUCAUAAAGGCAGCCUGACUUUCAUUAGCAGCCGCGACUGGAAAAUGUUAGCGCAUGUUACUGAAAAUGUGAGCCCUGGGAGUCAAAGUGAUUCUUCAUACAAAAUCUAUACACAGCUAUUAAAUGUCUGAAAAUCACCUCCAUAAAAUCUUUUUCCUUGUACAGUUGAUAUUUUGGAGUUUCAGAGAGGCUUAAGUAAGUCAUUUUUCUAUUUCUCAUAUUCGAAGUCCCUGGCUUCCUCUGCGUUGUCAUUCUGUACGUUCAUCAGGCGCAGACUCCUGUGUGUUGAGGUUUGAAUAACUCCAUUUUGGUGUUUGUUUUCCACUAAUUUUUUUUUUUUUUUUCUGAGACGGAGUUUCGCUCUUGUUACCCAGGCUGGAGUGCAAUGGCGCGAUCUCGGCUCACCGCAACCUCCGCCUCCUGGGUUCAGGCAAUUCUCCUGCCUCAGCCUCCCGAGUAGCUGGGAUUACAGGCACGCGCCACCAUGCCCAGCUAAUUUUUUGUAUUUUUAGUAGAGACGGGG